CGCAAGCCUGAUCCAGCAAUGCCGCGUGAGUGGAGAAGGCCUUAGGGUUGUAAACUCCUUUUGCGAGGGAAGAAGAUCUGACGGUACCUCGCGAAUAAGCCACGGCUAACUACGUGCCAGCAGCCGCGGUAAUACGUAGGUGGCGAGCGUUGUCCGGAUUUACUGGGCGUAAAGCGCGCGCAGGCGGGCUGAUUAGUCCGGGGUGAAAUCUCACGGCUCAACCGUGAGUGGUCCCCGGAUACUGUCAGUCUUGAGGUGUCUAGAGGAGAGCGGAAUUCCCGGUGUAGUGGUGGAAUGCGUAGAUAUCGGGAAGAACACCAGUGGCGAAAGCGGCUCUCUGGGGACCACCUGACGCUGAGGCGCGAAAGCGUGGGGAGCGAACCGGAUUAGAUACCCGGGUAGUCCACGCCGUAAACGAUGAGCACUAGCUGUCGGGGGUAUCGACCCCCUCGGUAGCGCAGCUAACGCGAUAAGUGCUCCACCUGGGGACUACGGCCGCAAGGCUA
rnacentral:rRNA from 1 species